rnacentral:rRNA from 1 species
GAUGAACGCUGGCGGCGUGCCUAAUACACGCAAGUCGAGCGAACGGACGAGAAGCUUGCUUCUCUGAUGUUAGCGGCGGACGGGUGAGUAACACGUGGAUAACCUACCUAUAAGACUGGGAUAACUUCGGGAAACCGGAGCUAAUACCGGAUGAUAUUUUGAACCGCAUGGUUCAAAAGUGAAAGACGGUCUUGCUGUCACUUAUAGAUGGAUCCGCGCUGCAUUAGCUAGUUGGUAAGGUAACGGCUUACCAAGGCAACGAUGCAUAGCCGACCUGAGAGGGUGAUCGGCCACACUGGAACUGAGACACGGUCCAGACUCCUACGGGAGGCAGCAGUAGGGAAUCUUCCGCAAAGGGCGAAAGCCUGACGGAGCAACGCCGCGUGAGUGAUGAAGGUCUUCGGAUCGUAAAACUCUGUUAUUAGGGAAGAACAUAUGUGUAAGUAACUGUGCACAUCUUGACGGUACCUAAUCAGAAAGCCACGGCUAACUACGUG